GGACGAAUACCCAAGUCUGGCUGAAGGGCUCGGUCUUGAAAACCGACAGGAGCUUAACGGCUCUCGGGGGUUCGAAUCCCUCUUCCUCCGCCA
rnacentral:tRNA from 1 species